rnacentral:rRNA from 1 species
GACGAACGCUGGCGGCGCGCCUAACACAUGCAAGUCGAACGAGCGAGAGAGAGCUUGCUUUCUCAAGCGAGUGGCGAACGGGUGAGUAACGCGUGAGGAACCUGCCUCAAAGAGGGGGACAACAGUUGGAAACGACUGCUAAUACCGCAUAAGCCCACGGCUCGGCAUCGAGCAGAGGGAAAAGGAGCAAUCCGCUUUGAGAUGGCCUCGCGUCCGAUUAGCUGGUUGGUGAGGUAAUGGCCCACCAAGGCGACGAUCGGUAGCCGGACUGAGAGGUUGAACGGCCACAUUGGGACUGAGACACGGCCCAGACUCCUACGGGAGGCAGCAGUGGGGAAUAUUGCACAAUGGGGGAAACCCUGAUGCAGCGACGCCGCGUGGAGGAAGAAGGUCUUCGGAUUGUAAACUCCUGUUGUUGAGGAAGAUAAUGACGGUACUCAACAAGGAAGUGACGGCUAACUACGUGCCAGCAGCCGCGGUAAAACGUAGGUCACAAGCGUUGUCCGGAAUUACUGGGUGUAAAGGGAGCGCAGGCGGGAAGACAAGUUGGAAGUGAAAUCCAUGGGCUCAACCCAUGAACUGCUUUCAAAACUGUUUUUCUUGAGUAGUGCAGAGGUAGGCGGAAUUCCCGGUGUAGCGGUGGAAUGCGUAGAUAUCGGGAGGAACACCAGUGGCGAAGGCGGCCUACUGGGCACCAACUGACGCUGAGGCUCGAAAGUGUGGGUAGCAAACAGGAUUAGAUACCCUGGUAGUCCACACUGUAAACGAUGAUUACUAGGUGUUGGAGGAUGGCCCCCCUCAGUGCCGCAGUUAACACAAUAAGUAAUCCACCUGGGGAGUACGACCGCAAGGUUGAAACUCAAAGGAAUUGACGGGGGCCCGCACAAGCAGUGGAGUAUGUGGUUUAAUUCGACGCAACGCGAAGAACCUUACCAAGUCUUGACAUCCUGCGACGCACAUAGAAAUAUGUGUUUCCUUCGGGACGCAGAGACAGGUGGUGCAUGGUUGUUGUCAGCUCGUGUCGUGAGAUGUUGGGUUAAGUCCCGCAACGAGCGCAACCCUUAUGGUCAGUUACUACGCAAGAGGACUCUGGCCAGACUGCCGUUGACAAAACGGAGGAAGGUGGGGAGGACGUCAAAUCAUCAUGCCCUUUAUGACUUGGGCUACACACGUACUACAAUGGCGUUAAACAAAGAGAAGCAAGACCGCGAGGUGGAGCAAAACUCAGAAACAACGUCCCAGUUCGGACUGCAGGCUGCAACUCGCCUGCACGAAGUCGGAAUUGCUAGUAAUCGCAGAUCAGCAUGCUGCGGUGAAUAAGUUCCCGGGCCUUGUAC